rnacentral:tRNA from 2 species
CGGAACGUAGCGCAGCCUGGUAGCGCACUUGCAUGGGGUGCAAGGGGUCGGAGGUUCGAAUCCUCUCGUUCCGACCA